CAUUCUGUCAGAAGACGCAGCAUGGCCAUGGCAGCUGCCAAAUAAUGAAAAACCACUGGAACUCCUUAUCAGCACGUGGUGAUUCCCUUCAACAGCUGUCCUGCUUGGUUAGCAGUGCAACAGUGCAAGAUUCUCCAUGGAACCUAAAUGAGGAUGGCAUGAAAGGUCUGCAGAGCCUCAUCAAAAGAAAGCAGCAGAACAUCAGGGACAUGAGGGCUGAUGUGAGAAAGAAAUACUUGAAAACUUUGCCAGGAGCAGAGACCACCAACUUAUUGAACAGUGCACUGAGGAAGAUUAUUCUGACAGUGAGACGGAGUUUUCUGAUGAUGAACUGUAAUGGACAAGCGGCUACAGCGACACAGCAUCAAACAUGGUUUGUGUCGUUUAUUAAACAAUGCCUGACGUGACGUGACGUUCAAACCUCCCGCUUGUCCCUGUGGUUAUCUCUCUCUUGUGUGUGUAAAGAACGUUGUCUGAGGUUGUUGUAGUCCUGCGGCCAACAAUAUAAAUGUUAGCAUUUUAUUAAAAAUCAUUGAGAUAAUAGUUAUUGCUAUCCUAUUUAUCUUUAAUGUCAGUACAAUUGAGGAAUAAGAUCAAAGAAAACUUGUCAACUUCUCAUGUUAAAAAUAGUAUUUUAAGGAAGAACAUAGUACACAGCCGCAUGACACACAUAUACUUGUGUGACAGAUUCACCUCAAUAUCUUCCUGCUGCCUUUUGCUCUGACGAGCUGAAAACGGGCCUUUGUGGUGAGAGGAGUAUGAGCUGAGCGCACACCACAGGUUAUGUGCUUUACUAUGUGUGUAACGAGCUGACUGGGGAGUAGCUUCACUUACCCACUCCUCCGAUAUUGCUUCAGGCCCGGUUGCAACUCGACUCGACCGGACUCGGCGAAGACGUAGCUCAGUGAUAUGUUUCUGUGUUGUGCUUGUGGAUCAGUCUACCUUUACGGUACCUCACCAGUCCCUCACCAAAUCAUCACCUAAGGGCCUUCGUAACAUGCAAUCUGAAGCCUCUACCGAAGUAGCGUACUUGAACACCAGUAGGGCUACUGCCUGUACAUGUAACUGAACCCUCUACUGCAAUCUUUUAUUGCCAUUUUAUUUUAUGCAUGUUUGAAUACAUUUCUUCUUUGAAAUUUGUUACUUGUAAAUUUUGAAAGGUCCAAUACAAAAUGAAGUUCAAUGUCAUUAUAAUGUGUAUUAGAAUAAUUUUUGUUAAUUGUGUGUGUGUGUGUAAUGUAAUGUAUUCAUGCUGUGUAUUUGCCAUAUUCCUCCUUGCCACGAGUCCAC
rnacentral:lncRNA from 1 species